ACGCGAGCACAAUAUAAUAAUGUGUGAGUCUCUGUGUGAUCACUGAAGGCUGUUGUGGAUGUCUCAUGUAUCUCAUUUUUAUUGUUUAAAUGAGAAGUAUUGGAAGUAAACACAUGAACAGAUGAAGACACAAAGCAGUGAAACAUGAAGCUCAUCAGAUGGAGCAGCUCCAAAGAUAGACGACUGAAUUGUAAAGGAAAACAAACGCUGAUGUUAGUCAGAAGGAACAGCAUAGAUGGCAAAAGACCAAACUUUUCUCAAGAUGCAGACGGCUUCAUUCUGAUGCUUCAGAAAGAGUCACAGACUCUCACACAUCAGACCCAGCAGCUGAUUUCUGAUCCUGGAGACUGAGCUUCCUAUAGAGUCCAGCUUUCUGGAGAUCAAGCCGGU